AACUAACGCUGGCGGCGUGCCUAACACAUGCAAGUCGUACGAGAAAGCCGGCUUCGGCUGGUGAGUAAAGUGGCGCACGGGUGAGUAACGCGUGGAUAAUCUGCCCUUAAGUGUGGAAUAACGUACCGAAAGGUGCGCUAAUACCGCAUAAUGCCUGGCAACACAAGUUGUCCGGCCAAAGAAGGCCUCUGUUUACAAGCUUUCGCUUCAGGAUGAGUCCGCGUACCAUUAGCUUGUUGGUGGGGUAAUGGCCUACCAAAGCUGCGAUGGUUAGCUGGUCUGAGAGGAUGAUCAGCCACACUGGAACUGAGACACGGUCCAGACUCCUACGGGAGGCAGCAGUAAGGAAUAUUGGGCAAUGGUCGAAAGACUGACCCAGCCAUGCCGCGUGCAGGAUGAAGGCCCUAUGGGUUGUAAACUGCUUUUAGCCGGGAAUAAACACCGUUUAUAACGGGCCCGAAGGUACCGGCUGAAUAAGCAUCGGCUAACUCCGUGCC
rnacentral:rRNA from 1 species